GGCUUUCAAGUCAGGUGUGAAAUCCUACAGCUUAGUGUAGAACUGCACUUGAAACUGGGAGCCUAGAGUAUGGGAGGGGCAGAUGGAAUUAGUGGUGUAGGGGUAAAAUCCGUAGAUAUCACUAGGAAUACCGAAAGCGAAGGCGAUCUGCUGGAACAUAACUGACGCUAAGGCGUGAAAGCGUGGGGAGCAAACAGGAUUAGAUACCCUGGUAGUCCACGCCCUAAACGAUGAACACUAGUCGUCGGAGUACUAGUUACUUCGGUGAUGCACUUAACAGAUUAAGUGUUCCGCCUGGGGAGUACGGUCGCAAGAUUAAAACUCAAAGGAAUAGACGGGGACCCGCACAAGUGGUGGAGCAUGUGGUUUAAUUCGAAGAUACGCGAAGAACCUUACCUGGCCUUGACAUUGAGAGAAUCCGCUAGAGAUAGCGGAGUGCCCUUCGGGGAGCUCGAAAACAGGUGCUGCACGGCUGUCGUCAGCUCGUGUCGUGAGAUGUUGGGUUAAGUCCCGCAACGAGCGCAACCCUCGUCCUUAGUUGCUAGCAGUUCGGCUGAGCACUCUAAGGAGACUGCCUUCGUAAGGAGGAGGAAGGUGAGGACGACGUCAAGUCAUCAUGGCCCUUAUGGCCAGGGCUACACACGUGCUACAAUGGGGCGUACAGAGUGUU
rnacentral:rRNA from 1 species